rnacentral:rRNA from 1 species
UACGGGGGGGGGCAAGCGUUGUUCGGAAUUACUGGGCGUAAAGGGCUCGUAGGCGGCCAACUAAGUCGGACGUGAAAUCCCUCGGCUUAACCGGGGAACUGCGUCCGAUACUGGAUGGCUUGAGUGUGGGAGAGGGAUGCGGAAUUCCAGGUGUAGCGGUGAAAUGCGUAGAUAUCUGGAGGAACACCGGUGGCGAAGGCGGGUCUCUGGGCCGAUACUGACGCUGAGGAGCGAAAGCGUGGGGAGCAAACAGG